rnacentral:rRNA from 1 species
AGCGAACGCUGGCGGCAGGCUUAACACAUGCAAGUCGAGCGGGCACUUCGGUGUCAGCGGCAGACGGGUGAGUAACACGUGGGAACGUACCCUUUGGUUCGGAAUAACGCUGGGAAACUAGCGCUAAUACCGGAUACGCCCUUUUGGGGAAAGGCUUGCUGCCGAAGGAUCGGCCCGCGUCUGAUUAGCUAGUUGGUGGGGUAAUGGCCUACCAAGGCGACGAUCAGUAGCUGGUCUGAGAGGAUGAUCAGCCACACUGGGACUGAGACACGGCCCAGACUCCUACGGGAGGCAGCAGUGGGGAAUAUUGGACAAGGGGGGCAAGCCUGAUCCAGCCAUGCCGCGGAAGUGAUGAAGGCCUUAGGGUUGUAAAGCUGUUUUGUCCGGGACGAUAAUGACGGUACCGGAAGAAUAAGCCCCGGCUAACUUCGUG